AGGGCCGCAUACGACGAGAUACUAGCGGCUGUUGAACGCGGUGAUGGGGGUGUAUUCUUUGUUGAUGGCCCUGGAGGUACAGGAAAGACCUUCCUAUACAGGGCGAUGCUUGCCAAGGUGAGGAGCGAUGGCAAGAUUGGUAUCGCUACCGCGACGUCGAGCGUCGCCGCUUCUAUCAUGCCUGGCGGCAGGACUGCCCACUCGAGGUUCAAGAUCCCAUUGAGUUGCGAUGAUGGAGCCUCGUGCAGCUUCACCAAGCAGAGUGGGACCGCCAAGCUGCUAAGGAUGGCCUCAUUGAUAAUAUGGGACGAGGCUAGCAUGACGAAGCGACAAGCGGUCGAGGCAUUGGACAAUAGCAUGCGCGACAUUAUGGGAAUACGCGACCGACCCUUUGGAGGAAAGACUGUUGUUUUUGGUGGGGACUUUAGGCAGGUGCUUCCGGUCGUCAGAAGGGGGUCGCGGGGCCAGAUAAUUGAUGCAACCCUCCGAAGUUCUCAUCUAUGGAAGGGUAUGCGGCAGCUUCGGCUCAUCACCAACAUGAGGGCUCAUAAUGACACGUGGUUUGCAGAUUACUUGCUAAGGGUCGGCAAUGGCACUGAGGAUGUCGACGAUCAAGGCAACAUACUACUCCCUGAAGACAUCUGUCUACCGUCUACAGGCGAGGUUGAUGACCUGGAGAAGCUUAUUGACCACGUGUUUCCGAGUCUAGAUGACAACAUGUCUGAUUCGAAUUACAUGACAUCUCGCGCAAUCCUUUCCACGACAAACAACAAUGUCGACAAGAUAAACAUCCUCAUGAUAGAGCGUUUUCAUGGAGAUGAAGUAAUCUACCAUAGCUUUGACAGUGCGGAGGACGACCCAUAUGGCUACUACGCUCAGGAGUUUCUGAAUGGAUUGACUCCUAACGGUCUUCCUCCGCAUGCACUCAAGCUAAAGCUGAACUGCCCUGUCAUACUUCUAAGGAACAUUGAUCCAGCUAAUGGACUGUGUAACGGCACUAGGCUUGUUGUUAGAGGUUUUGAGAGGAACACCAUUGAUGCAGAAAUCGUGAUUGGACAACACGCUGGUAGGAGGGUCUUCCUUCCUCGAAUACCUCUCUGCCCAUCUGAAAACGACAUGUUUCCGUUCAAGUUUAAAAGGAAGCAAUUUCCUAUAAGGCUUAGCUUUGCUAUGACCAUUAACAAGGCUCAAGGGCAGACCAUCCCGAUUGUUGGUGUCUACCUACCCAAUCCCGUGUUCUCUCAUGGUCAGCUCUAUGUUGCUCUGUCUCGAGCCACCGCGAAAAGAAAUAUAAAGAUACUCAUUCAGAAGGAGAAGCCGAAGGAGAAGGCCAACAAGCAAAAGGACAAUCCAAAGAAGCGAAAAAGACCGACCGUGUCCUUACUGACGUCGAUGAAGAACAUCGUCUACAAGGAAGUCCUU
rnacentral:rRNA from 1 species